rnacentral:rRNA from 1 species
CCCUUAGAGUUUGAUCCUGGCUCAGGAUGAACGCUGGCGGCGUGCUUAACACAUGCAAGUCGAGCGAAGCAAUUUAAGUGAAGUUUUCGGAUGGAUCUUAAAUUGACUGAGCGGCGGACGGGUGAGUAACGCGUGGAUAACCUGCCUCACACAGGGGGAUAACAGUUAGAAAUGACUGCUAAUACCGCAUAAGCGCACGGUACCGCAUGGUACAGUGUGAAAAACUCCGGUGGUGUGAGAUGGAUCCGCGUCUGAUUAGGUAGUUGGUGAGGUAACGGCCCACCAAGCCGACGAUCAGUAGCCGACCUGAGAGGGUGAUCGGCCACAUUGGGACUGAGACACGGCCCAAACUCCUACGGGAGGCAGCAGUGGGGAAUAUUGCACAAUGGGCGAAAGCCUGAUGCAGCAACGCCGCGUGAGUGAAGAAGUAUCUCGGUAUGUAAAGCUCUAUCAGCAGGGAAGAA